UUUUUCAUAGUCUGGUAAUGACUGUGAGGGCUGCAGUAAUGAUGUGGUAUGCUAAGUACCUCUGGGGUGCAUAGGGUUAGUGUUUUGUGUGCUUUAAAGAUGUCUCGCAACUGGGCCUCAGAUAAUUGGUGGCCUAUAUCUUUUUCCCAUGCUGAUAUAAAUAAGGGAGGGGUUUUGGGGGGUCGGUUGUGUUCUGAGGCAUAAAUCAUGGAGAUGAGUUUCCUGGCUGGUUUAGCAGCUAUGCUAAUCUGCUCUACUGCCUUCCAGGUUGGGUUAGAUAUCGUUGUGGAUGUAUGUGGUUUUGUUUGUUUGGUUUUUUGUUUUGUUUUUCUGGAGGGCAAACCAUGAUUGUAGUUGCAUAUAGGAGAAGGUGGCUGUCGUUGGUAGUGCGAACCCCUGUUUAAGGUCUGAGCAUUGUUUUAGUUUGGGUCCUUGCAUUAUUUGCGACAGUGUUCGUAUGCCAUGUCUCUGACAGAUUUUGUAGUUGAAGUCUGAUAUGUAGAAUUUUAUUGAUUCCAGUGGGAGUGCUGGGGAUAUUGAGUUUGGUUUGCCCAUCUUCGUCCUGUAAUCAUCCCAUAUGGAGAGGGUUAAAGCAGUUGUGGGUAGCAUAAGAGCGUAUUUUGAUGUUUGGGAUUUCGGUGUCCAUGCUAGUGUUGAUAGGGGUACUCCAUCUGUGUAACUUGUUUCUAAUGUAAGCCAUGAGCUGUGUUCGCAAUGGUGGGGAAUUGCUAGUAGUGGGACAAUGUGAGCUGCACUGUAGUAUCCUUUUGACAUCUGGCAUUCCCAUUCCGCCAUUAUUGAAUUGUCGGUGCAUGGUGUCUUUCGCUACUCGUGGUUUUUUGUUUUCCCAUACAUAGUAGUUUAGGAGGGUUUGUAGGUUUUGUAUGUAUGUCUUCGGUAGUUUGAGUGGGAGUGUUCGGAAUAGAUAUUUAAUUUUUGGUAGGAUCACCUUUUUUAUUGAGGCUAUUCGUCCUGCCCAUGAGAUAAAUUUCCCCUUCCAACUUUGUAUGAUAUUUUGGAUUUCACCUCGUAGUUUGCUUUAUAUAGUCUGGAGGGCGUGAUUGUGAAGUUUACCCCUAAAAAAUGUUAUAUUGUCUUGCCUCCAAUCGUAGGUGAAGUUGGCUUUUAAGUGUUGCAUGUCUUGUGCAGGGACGUUAAUGCCCAGGGCUAGGGUUUUUGUGAUAUUCAGUUUGUAAUAUGAGCAUUGGCUAUAUUGGGUGAGAAUUUUAUGAAAAUUCGGGAGGAAUAUGUGUGGUUGCUCUAGAGUUAGAAGGAUAGCAUCCGCAAACAGCGAAAGUUUGUAU